rnacentral:rRNA from 1 species
UGGGGAAUAUUGCACAAUGGGCGCAAGCCUGAUGCAGCCAUGCCGCGUGUGUGAAGAAGGCCUUCGGGUUGUAAAGCACUUUCAGCGGGGAGGAAGGCGGUGAGGUUAAUAACCUCAUCGAUUGACGUUACCCGCAGAAGAAGCACCGGCUAACUCCGUGCCAGCAGCCGCGGUAAUACGGAGGGUGCAAGCGUUAAUCGGAAUUACUGGGCGUAAAGCGCACGCAGGCGGUCUGUCAAGUCGGAUGUGAAAUCCCCGGGCUCAACCUGGGAACUGCAUUCGAAACUGGCAGGCUAGAGUCUUGUAGAGGGGGGUAGAAUUCCAUGUGUAGCGAUGAAAUGCGUAGAGAUGUGGAGGAAUACCGGUGGCGGAGGCGGCUCCCUGGACAAAGACUGACGCUCAGGUGCGAAAGCGUGGGGAGCAAACAGG